rnacentral:rRNA from 1 species
UACGUAUGGAGCAAGCGUUAUCCGGAUUUACUGGGUGUAAAGGGAGCGUAGGCGGCAUACCAAGCCUGAUGUGAAAACCCGGGGCCCAACCCCGGGAGUGCAUUGGGAACUGGCAAGCUAGAGUGUCGGAGAGGCAGGCGGAAUUCCUAGUGUAGCGGUGAAAUGCGUAGAUAUUAGGAGGAACACCAGUGGCGAAGGCGGCCUGCUGGACGACGACUGACGCUGAGGCUCGAAAGCGUGGGGAGCAAACAGG